UACGUAGGUGGCAAGCGUUGUCCGGAUUUAUUGGGUUUAAAGGGUGCGUAGGCGGCCUUAUAAGUCAGUGCUGAAAUAUCCCGGCUUAACCGGGAGGGUGGCAUUGAUACUGUAGGGCUUGAGUACAGAUGAAGUAGGCGGAAUUGGCGGUGUAGCGGUGAAAUGCAUAGAUAUCUGGAGGAACACCGGUGGCGAAGGCGGCAUCCUGGACCGGCAUUGACGCUGAGGCGCGAAAGCUAGGGGAGCAAACGGG
rnacentral:rRNA from 1 species